GGAGAGCUAAGCCUGUGGAUCUUAAUCCGACUACUACACCAGCCGCUAGGGUUUUUGCUUCAACUAGGGUUUCAGGAGUUUUAGAUCAAGAUGUCCAGGGUCUAUGUUGGAAACUUGGAUCCGCGAGUCACUGAACGCGAACUCGAGGAUGAAUUUCGCGUGUUUGGAGUUAUCAGAAGUGUGUGGGUUGCCAGAAGACCCCCUGGUUACGCUUUCAUUGACUUUGAUGACCGGAGGGAUGCCCAAGAUGCCAUCAGGGAACUUGAUGGUAAAAAUGGAUGGAGGGUUGAGCUAUCACACAACUCCAGAGGUGGAGGUGGUGGUGGCCGUGGUGGGGGUCGUGGACGUUCUGGUUCUGAUUUAAAGUGUUAUGAAUGUGGUGAGCCCGGUCAUUUUGCCCGUGAAUGUCGAAUGCGAGGAGGUUCCGGAAGGCGUAGGAGUCGCACCCCACCUAGGUAUCGCCGGAGCCCGAGUUAUGGUCGAAGGAGUUACAGUCCCCGUGGUCGGUCCCCUCGACGUCGCAGUUUGUCACCCAGAGGUCGCAGCUACAGCAGGUCGCCUUAUCGUGGACGGGAUGAGGUGCCAUAUGCGAACGGAAAUGGGAUUAGAGAAAGACGCAGGAGCAGGAGUUGAGCUUGGAUCCAUUAUUAGGACAUUUGAAUCUAUGAAGAAGUUUUUCGAAUUGUGUCUUUACUAUGCUUCGACUUAUUAACGACUGUGUAAGUGGGGCGACGCCCUCAGCUACGACUCGUGGAUUUGGUUGAGUGUCAUUACUACUUCAGUAGUGUCUGCCUGGUACUGCUUCAUUGGUUUUGUGCUUCUGCACUUGUGGUUUCGACCUUCACUGCCCUGCUGUGGGAUCUUCAAUUUGAAUGAUUGUGGAUCCCAGCUGGCUUCUCUGCUAGAUGCUUCUUUUCAUUGCAUGUCUGCGGCUAUGAUGCGCCUCUCCUCAAAUAGUUAUGGUAUUUGAUUAGAUUUAAGGAUGAUGAACGGCUUCACACACGCUUCUGGCAGGUACUUAAUCCAUUACAUGGAAGUGUCACCAUUUGACCUGUUCCUUGAACUACCAUAAGGAUUUCCUUUUCCAAAAUGGGUUUGUUCUCUACUUUUUGUUUAUGAGAAUUGAAGGUUAAAUUAAUUCCUUAUUAAAAUUGAGUAAUGUUUGUUGAGUUCAAAAUCAGUUUUCUUCUUCUUCUUCUUUUUUUUUUCUGAAAACUUGUUUGUUGAAGGAUUAAAUUUCUUUGUUUUAUGUGAUAUGCUUCUGAACAGAUUGAACCUUUUUCUCCGGAAAUUGAUAAUGAAAAACAAAACUGGAGAACUCAAUAUCAGCCAGUUUCAAUAUGACUCUGAAUCACUUGUUUUGGUUUGUUGGUAUUCCUGUCACUACUACUUGAGUCACUUUCAAGUGGUAUUGAUUAGGAUUUUUCUUUUUUCAUAAAAAAGAGAAAUGAUUUCCGUAUGGUGUCCAACUCUUGUUUCUCCCUUUGAGGUCCAAGCUUGAUAACUUUGAAAAUGAUCUCUGCAAUAUGCCUUCAUGCAUCAUACAAAAUGGCUUGUUUUCAGUUACUGUUUGUAUUUGCUGUAUUCUCCUCACUUUUCUUGCCUUAUCUUUUCAUGUUUUAGUAUUAUUUGUCAUAUUUGGGUAAGCUGGUUGAAACUUCAGCUUACACCUUUGCGGAAGGUGACUAUUAUUUGAAUGCAAGAAGCUGGGAUAGGUGCAAAUAUUUUGUAUUAUGAAUGUUUUUUUAUCUAACAUAUUUUGGGUCUGAAGUGACUCGGCCUGUAUUUUCAUCAACGUUGUAUAUUACAAUUAUGUAUUGUAACUGGUUUUCCUACAAUAGUGGGCAUAUACUUGGAAUUCUUGAAA